rnacentral:RNase_P_RNA from 1 species
CGAGCAGGUCGUUCUAUCGCUUCGUUUUUUACGAAGAGGAAAGUCCGGACAACAAAGGGCACCAUACUUCCUAACGGGAAGGCGGUUGAAAAGCUGCAGUAACGUAACAGAAAAUAACUACCGUGCUUGCGCGGAAAAGGUGAAAAGGUGAGGUAAGAGCUCACCGGUUUUGUUGGCAACAGCAAAAGCCGUACGUCUUAUGGGUUGCAAGGCUAUGUAUAUCGACAUUCCGGUUUGCCGGAUAAGGACUGCCCGUCUGAGUCGAGGGGUAAGCCGCAAGAACUUUUUGGUGACAAAAAGUCUAGAUAAAUGAUAGAAACCAAUUUUGGUACAGAAUCCGGCUUACAGGCCUGCUUAUUUU